GACGGUUGUAGGCCAAACCAUCUUUCGUCUGUUUUGAAAUUUGAUUCUCCUUAACAUUAUUGGAUUUCUUCUUAUUUGAAAGAGGUUCUGAUGAGUAACUCAUGUUAUUUUUUCUUGAACUCAUUCUAUAUGCUAAUACAAUUUUUUUAAAUAUUUUCUUUAGGUAUAUACAUAUGAUUCAGGCAUGGCCUUUUAUACUGAUUAACCACAUGGAAUUCCUGGAAUAUGAAAUUUCAUUGUCAUAUUUAGUAUUUACUAGAAAGUUUUUAUACAUUUU
rnacentral:lncRNA from 1 species